UAUAAGUAUCCAUUAAAGUUAGAUUAAUACAUGCAUGUAUGUUUUGAAGGGCUGGACAAAAUAACUGAAUCCAAAAAUCAAACCGAAUUCGAUCUAAAAAAUAGUACCGAAUGCGAACUGAAGUUGGUCAAAUAUUCAAACUGGUUUAAAAUUUUGUUAUCUGAAAAAAUCGAAACGAACCCUAUCCGAAUCCAUAUACUUCGGAUAUCUGAGCCAAAAUAUAUACUUAACUGUAUUGAUUAUUUUAAAUCUAAUAUCCAAUAUAUAUAUGAAAUUUAUACAAGAAUCCAAAAAUGAAUAUAUAAAAUAGCUGAAUAUUAUUCAAAACACCAAUAACUACUCAAAGUACCUAUUAAUUUUCUCCAUUUAAAUAUUAAAUCAAACCAAUUUUUAUGUUAGCAAGGUAUUUAGACACAUAUUAUUCAAAUUCAUAUGUUAUAUAUUAUUUUUGUGUUUGAACUUUGAGAAUUUUUAUGUAUAUAUAGAUUUAUAAGAAAUUAAAAUAAUUUACAUGGGUAUCUGAACCUGAACAUCCGGUUUUGAUACUAUUUAAACCCAAAGCCAACGGUCCAACAUGGUAAUAACUUGACACAUAACAAGUCCACUAGGUAGUAACACAUAACAUAUCCACCAGUCACACCUCCUGAGUUAUUGGAUGUUCAGGAGGAGUUGAAGAUUCCACCAGAAUGGAAAGUUUUUGUUGAUGCAUUAUGCCAAAAGAAGAAGGAUGUCACUAGCCGUCUGGAAAACUGAUAUUCUCGUGACUCUGUUUCCAUUUGCUUUUGCCGUAAAUAUAGCUCACAACCAGAGGUCCUUAGCUCAAAUGGAAAAGAUCCUGACCAUUAUGUCAGUCCUGGUUCAAGUGACCGGCUGACCGCUAGACCAAACUAAUAUUACAUAUUGUAAUUUCGGGGGAUUAUGAGCUUCGGCCCAAACCUCUUGGUUUAAAAAAUGAAAAAGCUCGCUGUUGGUUAUUGUUUGGCUCAAACCUUUCAGGAGAAAUCCGAUUCCGCGGGCUCUGAUGUACAAGAUAGACUAAUAUAUUCCUGAUGAUUUUUUUUGUAGAUUUGCUCCAUGUUUUCAAGGUUGCUUCUCUCAUUUUUAUACCUCCUUAAAAAUUGGCUUAAGUUUUGAGAACUAAGACAGCGUUCUUCUGUGAUCCAUAGGACACAGAUGUUGGUAACAUAAUCAAGCCCUGCACCUGGAUGUCAUGGACGACAGCAUUCACAUGGAACCAUACGCAGAUGGUGCUGGUCAACACAAUUCGUGGCGUCCCAGUCAUAUUCUUGACUUCAGCGAUCUAUCCAUAGGUAUGCUAUCUUAAGUUUAUAAUCCAAAUGGGAUCAAACUGCAAAUUUGAAAAGUUUUCUGAGAGAAUGAAGAAAUUUGUAGGAGAUUCAAUCUACGACUUGAUAACCGAUAUACUUGGACGUGUUUAGAGGAGACACUGAACUUUUCAAGAAGCUUCUAGAAAGUUACGGCCUUCCUUUACUCAGAAGUAAGAAUGGAACAGUAGACAGUACGAGGAAGAAAGUAUUGUCUCCUUCCUACCGCACAAUGUGUUAUUGUAUAUUACAUGAAGAGAAUGUGUUGGGUGCAAUGUUCAGUAUUUGGGUUGAACUUCGCACAGCUGAAUCAUGGGAACAGAUUGAGCUCACUGUUUGGAGUCUUCUUAACUCCUACUGAUGUUCUUACAUUGAAGAAUUCUUACUUUACUGUUUUAUAAUUGAUAGAAAACACAGUUUAUUACAUACUUAUGUGAUUAAUUAUUUAAUUAAUUAUGAGACAACUAAUUUUUUUUAGAA